CACUGGCUUGCUGUCAAUAAAUACAUGGGUAAAUCUCUGUUCCAGGCCCUCAGCUCUGAAGGCUGUGAGACCCCUGAUUUCCCACUCCACACUAUAUUUCUGUGUGUGUGUCUUUAAUUCCUCUAGUGCCACUGGGUUAGGGUCUCCACGACUGAGCUGUUUUCAGCACCCCGUGAAGAUAUGAUGUGUCCAUAGGCCGUUAGAGGAAUAUGUAUCCCGAGAAUUCAUGCUACAGCAUACUUUCUCCUCACUUGGGAAAAUGCCUUCAGGAUAGAAACCUUGUUUGAUAUAUUUGUAUGUUCCGAAAUUGUCCCCCGCCUCACCAGCACAGGCUGUUCAACAUAAACGGGCUGGGUUGAAUUGAAUCGGGCAGAGUUGACAGAACACAGGACCAGGAAGCAGGUCACCCAAGCUGCUGGCCCUGCCAUGGCUCCUGGUGGACGUGAGGGAGAUAUUAGGAACAAUAUCACAGAAGGGGUGUACACUGCCUGCGAUACUGGGAGUAAUAGCAUUCUCUUCUUCCGUGAAUAUGAGGAGCAAUAUCACUGGGUGGAUGUACACCCACUGCUAUACUGGGAGUAACGUCAUACUCCACCCCCUGGAGAUUAUAUUCGGAUAAAUAUCACCAGGUGGGUGUACACCUACUGUGAUAUUGAACGGAAUAUCAUGCUCUCUCCCUCCCUGGACGUUAGGAACAAUAUCACAGGUGGGUGUACACCCACUGAGGUAUUAG
rnacentral:lncRNA from 1 species